UACGUAGGGGGCAAGCGUUGUCCGGAAUUAUUGGGCGUAAAGCGCGUGUAGGCGGCUUUGCAAGUCGGGUGUGAAAGCCCUCAGCUUAACUGAGGAAGUGCGCCCGAAACUGCAGAGCUUGAAUACCGGAGAGGAUGGCGGAAUUCCCCAAGUAGAGGUGAAAUUCGUAGAUAUGGGGAGGAACACCGGUGGCGAAGGCGGCCAUCUGGACGGCUAUUGACGCUGAGACGCGAAAGCGUGGGGAGCAAACAGGG
rnacentral:rRNA from 1 species